UUUCCGUAGGUGAACCUGCGGAAGGAUCAUUCAUAAUAAAGUGUUUUAUGGCACUUUUUAAAAAUCCAUAUCCACCUUGUGUGCAAUGUUAGAUCUCGUCAAUCUCUAGGCGAGAUUUUUAUACAUCAACUCAUUCUUUAACUAAUUUGUCUGAAAAAUAUUAUGAAUACUUAAUUCAAAAUACAACUUUCAACAACGGAUCUCUUGGCUCUC
rnacentral:misc_RNA from 1 species